rnacentral:rRNA from 1 species
GACGAACGCUGGCGGCGUGCUUAACACAUGCAAGUCGAACGAAGUGGCGAACGGGUGAGUAACGCGUAAUCAACCUGCCCUUCAGAGGGGGACAACAGUUGGAAACGACUGCUAAUACCGCAUACUGAAGGAGGGGAUUGCGUCGGAUUAGCUAGUUGGAGGGGUAACGGCCCACCAGGGCGAUGAUCAGUAGCCGGGCGGAGAGGAUGAACGGGCAAAUUGGGACUGGGAAAAGGCCCAGAAGCCGAAGGGAGGCAGCCGGGGGGAAGCUUCCGAAAUGGACGGAAGUCUGACGGAGCAAAGCCGGGGGGGUGAUGACGGCCGUCGGGUUGGAAAGCUCUGUUAAUCGGGACGCGGUACCGGAAUAGAAAGCCACGGCUAACUACGUGCCAGCAGCCGCGGUAAUAC